AAAAUACUCCCUCCGUCUGGAAUUACUUGUCGCUCAAAUGGAUGUAUCUAGAUACAUCCAUUUGAGCGACAAGUAAUUCCGGACGGAGGGAGUAGCAC
rnacentral:pre_miRNA from 1 species